rnacentral:lncRNA from 1 species
CUGUGAUCUUCCAUUUCUGGUCAUUCCAAGCUGAAUGUUUGAGCCUAGAAUGAAAACUUAUCUGCUUCAAAUAGUUUCUCAGGGAUUAACAGAGAAACAAAAUAAAAACAAAACCAAAUUGCUCAAAAAUAUGCCUGCUUGCACAAAGAGCAUUUACUUGAAGCUAAACCAUAAAACCCUACUUUUUUCCCUUUUCAGAUGUAAUUGUUACAUAUGUUCAUUAUGAAUACAUAAUGAGGGCCCAGAACAGAUGGUGCUGACUUAAAAUGACAUGCACUGCAAGCGAUGCUGGUCCAUAAGGGGGCUGCUGCUGUCCCUGAAGGCACCAAAUGAGGGGGUGGUGGUCAGCAGAGAAGCCCUGAGGCUGGUCUGGCUUGCCUGUGGCCCGGAAAGGAGCUGCUGGGCACUGAGCCAUAUUUGGAAGAAUCUUGGAGCAGAAUUUGGAGCUAGUCCUGUGCUUGUCACAGCCUUGUUGGUGUCCUAAGAUUCCCUCUAAAUGGCCGUGAUGUCAACUCCGAGGACUAGAAGAACCUUGCAGAGAGUUCUGAGCCAUGUAUGAAGAUGGAAAAGCACUAUAAUUCCAUGUCCUCUUGCAACUAUUCAGACCUAACAUUGGAAGAUAAGUCUGAGUUGGAGGGAGCUGGUGGUUCUCACUCAGAGACGGUCAGCACUCUGCUGUUGGGAGACUCCAGUGAAGCUUCUGAACAAGUGGAAUGGGGCGGGCUUCUCUCCUGGAAGCCUGAUCACACUGGGGUCAGGCUCCCACCUGCAGGAACCGGGAAGAGAGGAUGCCAAAGGGAGCAGGGCAGACAAGCUUGGCUCACAGCCACUGAGGUGCAUCCUCAGAUGGGCUACCUGCCAUCUGUGCUGUUGGUGCCUGGAUCAGGGUGGCAGCAGAAGUGAGGGGGGACAGGGAAAUAGAAAGGGACCGCGGUGGAAGGAGGCUGGGGAAGUACCUCGAAAUAGAGACUGUUUCCAACCAAGAAUCAGCAAUCUGUCCUGUCUUGGUGAGUGAGGGUCUCUGGGUCUACUAGGAAUAGAGGGCACACAGGCUCUGGUGCGGACUGGGUAUGUUUGGACUGGGUAUGUGUGAUCUGGACUGUCCUCGCUGGGGUUUCCCCUGGAGGAAAUGACAGUAAGUAAACAACAACAGUCUCAUGUUCAGGGCCAGGUAUUUUCCUAUGGAAUCAAUGAGGGUCGCAUUUGACUGCCAGGUAUACACUUGCCAGGUAUUGGCUUGUUUCAAAUUCAGUUAAAAUGCUUUCUAUGGGACAUUCACUCACCACGGUGCCUCAGUCCGUUUUUCCUAUUCUAUUACUCAUCUACUAC